GACGAACGCUGGCGGCGUGCCUAAUACAUGCAAGUCGAACGAAACUUUCUUACACCGAAUGCUUGCAUUCACCGUAAGAAGUUGAGUGGCGGACGGGUGAGUAACACGUGGGUAACCUGCCUAAAAGAAGGGGAUAACACUUGGAAACAGGUGCUAAUACCGUAUAUCUCUAAGGAUCGCAUGAUCCUUAGAUGAAAGAUGGUUCUGCUAUCGCUUUUAGAUGGACCCGCGGCGUAUUAACUAGUUGGUGGGGUAACGGCCUACCAAGGUGAUGAUACGUAGCCGAACUGAGAGGUGGAUCGGCCACAUUGGGACUGGGACACGGCCCAAACUCCUACGGGAGGCAGCAGUAGGGAAUCUUCCACAAUGGACGCAAGUCUGAUGGAGCAACGCCGCGUGAGUGAAGAAGGUCUUCGGAUCGUAAAACUCUGUUGUUAGAGAAGAACACGAGUGAGAGUAACUGUUCAUUCGAUGACGGUAUCUAACCAGCAAGUCACGGCUAACUACGUGCCAGCCGCCGCGGUAACAC
rnacentral:rRNA from 1 species